GGAAAUAAAAGUCGUAACAAGGUCUCCGUUGGUGAACCAGCGGAGGGAUCAUUACCGAGUGCAAACUCAUAACCCUUUGUGAACCUAUAUCUGUUGCUUCGGCGGCUCGCUCUCGGGCGAGCCCGCCGGUAAUAUCAGUAUCUCUGUUUGAACCCGACGAUACUUCUGAGUGUUCUUAGCGAACAGUUAAAACUUUUAACAACGGAUCUCUUGGCUCUA
rnacentral:misc_RNA from 1 species